UUGGAGAGAUUAGGAAAGAAAAUUCUAUCAAUUACUAAAUUACCCUCCAAUCAAAUAAAUCUCAUCUCUUCAGUCAUUUUAGAUAAAUUUGGCGCAAAUUUUUUCAUUCCCUCUCACUCUCUGACUUCUGACCAUCACUCGCCAGUCGCCACCGCAGCGGAUCUCCCUCGUAGAACCACCGUUUAGCGACAAUCAGACCUUCAAAAGUUAUCUCUCAAACCCCAUAACCAGUUCACACUCAAUCCGCCCUAAUUUCCGGUCAUCGUCUGUGGUUCAAUCGACAGCCUAUUCCUACCUGCUCGAGGCAUACCAUUUGAGAACCCAUUCAACAGCUGAAUUACAGCAUAUUGAGCUUUCUAGGCUUUUCUCCAACGUCUCGCUGACUGAUGAAGGGGAUAAAUAGAGCUGGUCUUUGGACUCAAAUGGGUUAUUUUCGGUCAGUGGGUUGAGGAGGUGCUUGGUGCAAAACAACCAAACGGAUGCAGCUACUGUCUACUCGUGGAAUCGAUGGAUUCCGCUCAAGGUUAACUUUCUAGUGUGGAGGUUAAACUUGAAUAGACUAUCAACGCGGGUGUCUUUGUUAAGGAGAGGCGUACAAGUGCCAUCCGCUUUGUGUGAGUUGUGUCGAGAUGAAGAGGAGUCUACUGAAGACGUUUUCUGCACGUGCCCGUUCACGCAAAAGGUUUGGGAUGGAAUUGCGAGGUGGUGCAGAUUCCAGCCAUUUAUUAUUUUUUUUUUUGGCUUGGGUGAUCCGGUAAAUUAUCAUGUACAUGUGAUGGGCUCAAAAGUCUGGAAACAAUUGAUAUACUCAGGUCUUUCAAACGACGAUUUGGUGUAUUUGGUCGAGCAGAAAUAACUUGGUGUUUGAGCGGGGGAAGUGCUCGCCUAAAAGGGUGCUGGAAGAAACAAAGACAUGGGGUUUUUGUGGAUAAAACAUCGAGCCAAAGCGACGACAUUGACAUGGGAAAAGUGGAGUGAUUUUGAUGUUUCUUGCUUUGGUGGGUACUGUGUAAUGUUGUACUUGUACUGGUGUAUGGUACUUAACGUGGUUAACACAAUUUUGUUGACCCGUUUUAUAAUAAAAAUUAGUUGGCCGUUUAC